rnacentral:lncRNA from 1 species
GCCGGGGCGUCCCCCGCGGGAGCCCGCAGCCACCCGGGACGCGCAUCCAGACGUGGCGCUUCGGACCGGGCACGCUGCGCCCGGGGGCUCGGCGGACCCCGCGUAGCCGCCGCUUCGGAGCUUGUGCGGCGCGGGCUGGCCAGCGGGGCGGCCAGGGCCCGGCCCGCCUCCCCAGCGCCCGCCCGGCUUCUCCCCCUGGCGGUGGGAGCCUCGGCGGCCGCUGGCGACACUAGGCGCACUGAAGCCCGAGCCGAGCCGAGCCCGAGCCGCCGCCGCCGCCGCCGCUGCUGCGCACCGCUCCCGGGCUCCCUCCCAGCGCGCCGGCCGGGGUGUGGGGGGCGGCGGGCCGGAGGGGCGAGGGCGGGCCAGGGGGCGCACACGGGGGUUGGCGCGGAAGACAGGACCCUCAGCCUCGAGGGAGCCCCUAGGUGACCAGGCAAAAUGGCAGUUCCUUCCAGCUGGUCCUCAGAUGGGCACAUCUAUUAGCCUCUGCUCUUGUAAGAAGUUAGCUGCAGAACCCACAUGUGAAUCCUUGUAGUGCUUUAUCAAAUUUCUACUAUGAACUAAGAACUGAGUGCUAUGGGAGACACAAAGGAGAGUCAGGACUCUGGAGAAGAUCAAAUGGGAGCUUAGAUGUGGAAGCUCUUUGGAAACCAAGAAACACUCUGAAAAUGAAAAGGCAUAAGAAUGUUUAUCACAGCAUGGCAUAUAUUGGAAGUUUAGUAAAUGAAGAUACAUCCAAUCUGACAUUCUAUUCACAACCACAAAGAGAUAAUGUAGAAACAUAUUUAGUAAUGUGAGAAAAUACUAAAUAUUAAGUGAAAAAGGUGGAAGAGUAAACUGUUCCUGUUUCUCCAUCUUGACAGGAAGCAGAAGUUCUCCUUAGCUGAUUUUUCUUCUUGCCUUAUACUGGGUUCUUUAACACCAGAACAAAAAUAAAUAAAUAAAAGAAUCUUCCAGAAAUUCAUGAAGAGACUUCAGGUCAGGAAAGCCUGAACUUUCUCAUCCAACACCCGUUCAAGUCGGAGGAUGCUGAUUAAUUCAUGAUGGAAAGGUAUCAAUUUCACAGCCCAGACCUCUACAUUCUUGAAAUGCUCUUCUCAUGGGAGACAUUAAAUAAGCUUUGAAUUAACUUGCCAUGACACCCAGGAUGCAGCUGUAGGAACACCACUGGGUCCCUGGAUGUCAUGUAAGCCCUUAAGUAAAAGUGCCAUCAAAUGAUUUCUCAGAAAUUAUAAAGAAACAAAAGGACCAUAAACAAGAUAAGGUGGCAUGAGGAAACAUUACAAGUACCUUUCAGAGCUGACUGGCAAAGAAACUCCUGAGGUGACGGUUCUACCCCAAUAUUACUUCUUCGAAGAGCAACCUAACUGGACUUAUCUUCCUCAGUUCUCUGUGAUGAACUUUUGUAGAGCCAUACGAAAGGAGGUUUUUAGCUCUCACCUGUGGUCUUUCUUCAUCAUGCACCUCCUAGAUUCAAAAGUUCAGCAGGGACAUGUCAAGCUAUAUAAAUAAAAACAAACUAAGAAAAAAUGUAACAUUCCAUACCUUAAAACGCAACCUUAAUAACGUGAAAGACCCUGAAGGACUUGAGACGUGAAGAUUUUCUACCACGGUCUUUGCCUGUAUUAUUUCUGACAGCUGUUCCUUUCUACUCCCUCUUGCACACAUCUUUAGUUACUCCCUGUUCUCCAUCCCUCUGAUAAAAUCUAGAGUUCCCCCCUCAAAUUAGAAAAUUAAAAAAAAUUAAAAAUCUAAAAUUAAAAUUUAAAAAAUUUUUAAAAAUCUAGAGUUUAAAAAAAAUGUUCUAUCUCAGGCUUGUGAACCAUAUUGUUAGUUCACAAUUAAGAAUGAUGUACAUCUAUUGGACAAGUUUUAAUUAAUUCUUUCCCUUGGCUGAUUAGUAAAUUUCUGCAGUGAGUACAAAUGUU